CGCCAGCACAGCGCCAGGAGCAGUCCGGGAUCCACCGCCGCCGCGGCGAUGGUGGGAGACCCCCUCCCCCGCCCCGGGAGAGAUCGGGAGACGCAGCAGGGAGAGACCCGAGAGCGCGCGAAAUGAAGCCAGGGAUGGCCCGCAGGCGGCGGGAGAGGGACAGACCCGAGGGAGCCAGGCGGAGCGCCAGAGACACUGGGAGGCUCGUGGUCAGGGAAUGACCUUGAAAGCUCAUCAGGUCCCUCCAGGGCAGUGGAGAGAGGUCCAACCAGCUAGGACCUUUGGGAGAUGUUGAACUGGAAUCUUCCCUCACUCAACAAGAACUUGUUGCCUGUGUGGUCUGGGAUCUCAUAUCACUCCCUGCCACCUUCUACAGGGACUGUGCUUCCAGCAACAUAAAGGUUCCUGUGUCCCCAGGAUAUGUUUCCAGCAGUUCAGGAGCUGGGGAAGCAGCCUGCAGACAUGACUGCCUGACCCCUCCUAGCACGGAUAGUCUUCUGUUCUUCCCUCUGAGGUCAACUGACCCACCCUGGAAAGUAAGGACCAGAAGUACUGCUCUUGGU
rnacentral:lncRNA from 1 species